AUCAUCUGGUCUAUUAUUUUGCCUUUCUAUGGUAUUUAUAAGAACAUUAAUUUCUUGGUCAGAGUCUGAUAUGUCUAAGGGAUUGUAUAUGGUUUCAUCAUCUGAAGAAGAAGAAGUUUCAUUAUAUUCAGUUAGAAUGGUUAUUUUUCCUUUAUCUUUAUUAGUACUUGGUUCUUCUAUCUUUAUUCCUCCUGAGGUGCUAGUUUUUGGAGACAUACUCUGUUCAUUUAUUAUUUUGUGUAAUAAUUUUGACAUAUCACUCAAUUCUGUCUUUGGAUUUAUUGUUACUGUAUCUAUUGGAUUCUGAGAUGGUGGUAUCAUUUUUUAAAUGGUUUAUUUACUUGUUUUCGAGCUGGAUCUAUAUCAUAUGGUUUUGGAUUGCUAUAUCUUUGAGAUAAAU
rnacentral:lncRNA from 1 species